UCGUCUCUUUCCUCACAACGAACUCCUGUUCGUCCACGAAUUCUCCUCUGUUCCCGAUCCAAAUCAUCGCCGAUUCGGCCAGUCUUUGCCCCUAGGCCACGGAAUCCACUCUAUAACUAUUCCCCAUCUUCUUCUCUACCGAUUUUUGGCAAAAUUUUGUCUUCCCAUGCCCGUUUCGCCCGGAUCCAAUCUCGCCGGAGUCCGCCGCUGCAGGAGCACCCCGCCGGUCGAUUUCAUCGCCUCUGAAGGAACCCCUAGAACGACUCAAUAGAGCUCGAUCCGAAGCCCUCGCCGUCACUGUGACUUCAGCCGCACGUCAUCACCACUAGAGGACGGGACCGUCGCAGAAGAGAACGAAUUCAAUGUCUACAGUAACGUCCGUCUCCAGUACAGUCCUUCCGAGCUCGGGGAACCACCGCAGACGUCUCCACCGUCGACGUCCGAGCCACCGUGCGUCUUCUGCUCACAGUCCGGCAGCCACCGAGCCUCUCCUGUAGUUGUCCGAAGUGUGAAGAGUACUUCAUCAAGGCAAGUUGCACUUUUGAUUAUUGUCAUCUUAUGUUCUGCUAUGCAUGUGUGGUUUUUAUGCCACGAUAUAUGUUUGGUUUGGUUGGGUUUGUGUAUCUCGUGUUGUCAUGUUUUGGUAUUGGUUGUUUUAUAUGUGAUGGUAGACGUGGGUUUGUGUUUGAGUGUUUUAUGUGUCACUGGCUGAGCGCUCUAUUGUCCCUA